rnacentral:rRNA from 1 species
UCGAACGAGUUCUGAUUAUUGAAAGGUGCUUGCAUCUUGAUUUAAUUUUGAACGAGUGGCGGACGGGUGAGUAACACGUGGGUAACCUGCCCUUAAGUGGGGGAUAACAUUUGGAAACAGAUGCUAAUACCGCAUAAAUCCAAGAACCGCAUGGUUCUUGGCUGAAAGAUGGCGUAAGCUAUCGCUUUUGGAUGGACCCGCGGCGUAUUAGCUAGUUGGUGAGGUAACGGCUCACCAAGGCAAUGAUACGUAGCCGAACUGAGAGGUUGAUCGGCCACAUUGGGACUGAGACACGGCCCAAACUCCUACGGGAGGCAGCAGUAGGGAAUCUUCCACAAUGGACGCAAGUCUGAUGGAGCAACGCCGCGUGAGUGAAGAAGGCUUUCGGGUCGUAAAACUCUGUUGUUGGAGAAGAAUGGUCGGCAGAGUAACUGUUGUCGGCGUGACGGUAUCCAACCAGAAAGCCACGGCUAACUACGUGCCAGCAGCCGCGGUAAUACGUAGGUGGCAAGCGUUAUCCGGAUUUAUUGGGCGUAAAGCGAGCGCAGGCGGUUUUUUAAGUCUGAUGUGAAAGCCCUCGGCUUAACCGAGGAAGUGCAUCGGAAACUGGGAAACUUGAGUGCAGAAGAGGACAGUGGAACUCCAUGUGUAGCGGUGAAAUGCGUAGAUAUAUGGAAGAACACCAGUGGCGAAGGCGGCUGUCUGGUCUGUAACUGACGCUGAGGCUCGAAAGCAUGGGUAGCGAACAGGAUUAGAUACCCUGGUAGUCCAUGCCGUAAACGAUGAAUGCUAGGUGUUGGAGGGUUUCCGCCCUUCAGUGCCGCAGCUAACGCAUUAAGCAUUCCGCCUGGGGAGUACGACCGCAAGGUUGAAACUCAAAGGAAUUGACGGGGGCCCGCACAAGCGGUGGAGCAUGUGGUUUAAUUCGAAGCAACGCGAAGAACCUUACCAGGUCUUGACAUCUUUUGAUCACCUGAGAGAUCAGGUUUCCCCUUCGGGGGCAAAAUGACAGGUGGUGCAUGGUUGUCGUCAGCUCGUGUCGUGAGAUGUUGGGUUAAGUCCCGCAACGAGCGCAACCCUUAUGACUAGUUGCCAGCAUUUAGUUGGGCACUCUAGUAAGACUGCCGGUGACAAACCGGAGGAAGGUGGGGAUGACGUCAAAUCAUCAUGCCCCUUAUGACCUGGGCUACACACGUGCUACAAUGGAUGGUACAACGAGUUGCGAGACCGCGAGGUCAAGCUAAUCUCUUAAAGCCAUUCUCAGUUCGGACUGUAGGCUGCAACUCGCCUACACGAAGUCGGAAUCGCUAGUAAUCGCGGAUCAGCACGCCGCGGUGAAUACGUUCCCGGGCCUUGUACACACCGCCCGUCACACCAUGAGAGUUUGUAACACCCGAAGCCGGUGGCGUAACCCUUUUAGGGAGCGAGCCGU